rnacentral:rRNA from 1 species
GACGAACGCUGGCGGCGUGCUUAACACAUGCAAGUCGAGCGAGGCCCUUCCUUCGGGAAGGUGCCCUAGCGGCGAACGGGUGAGUAACACGUGGGCAACCUGCCCCUAGCACUGGGAUAACUCCGGGAAACCGGGGCUAAUACCGGAUACGACCUUUGAAGGCAUCUUCGAAGGUGGAAAAGGUUACUGGCUAGGGAUGGGCCCGCGGCCUAUCAGCUUGUUGGGUGGGGUAACGGCCUACCAAGGCGACGACGGGUAGCCGGCCUGAGAGGGCGACCGGCCACACUGGGACUGAGACACGGCCCAGACUCCUACGGGAGGCAGCAGUGGGGAAUAUUGCACAAUGGGCGAAAGCCUGAUGCAGCGACGCCGCGUGAGGGAUGACUGCCUUCGGGUUGUAAACC